rnacentral:rRNA from 1 species
GACGAACGCUGGCGGCAUGCCUAAUACAUGCAAGUCGAACGCUGAAGCACUCUGCUUGCAGAGUGCGGAUGAGUGGCGAACGGGUGAGUAACACGUGGGAAAUCUGCCUAAAAGUGGGGGGUAACAUUCGGAAACGGAUGCUAAUACCGCAUACAUUCUUGAACCGCAUGGUUCUUGAAAGAAAGACGGCUCUGCUGUCGCUUUUAGAUGAUCCCGCGGCGUAUUAGUUAGUUGGUGGGUUAAAGGCCUACCAAGACCAUGAUACGUAGCCGACCUGAGAGGGUGAUCGGCCACACUGGGACUGAGACACGGCCCAGACUCCUACGGGAGGCAGCAGUAGGGAAUCUUCCACAAUGGGUGCAAACCUGAUGGAGCAAUGCCGCGUGAAUGAAGAAGGUCUUCGGAUCGUAAAGUUCUGUUAUUAGAGAAGAACAAGUCGAGGAGUAACUGUCUCGACUUUGACGGUACCUAACCAGAAAGUCACGGCUAACUACGUG